rnacentral:rRNA from 1 species
GUGUCAGCCGCCGCGGUAAGACGAACCGUGCGAACGUUGUUCGGAAUCACUGGGCUUAAAGGGCGCGUAGGCGGGCGACCAAGUCAGGGGUGAAAUCUUUCGGCUUAACCGGAAAAUAGCUUCUGAUACUGGUUGUCUUGAGGGAGGUAGGGGUCUGUGGAACUUCUGGUGGAGCGGUGAAAUGCGUAGAUAUCAGAAGGAACGCCGGUGGCGAAAGCGACGGACUGGACCUCAUCUGACGCUGAGGCGCGAAAGCUAGGGGAGCAAACGGGAUUAGAUACCCCUGUAGUCC